AUGACUGAUAACUACUGUCCCUACUGUCUCUACUGUCCCUACUGUCUCUACUGUCUCUACUGUCCCUACUGUCCCUACUGUCCCUACUGUCUCUACUGUCUCUACUGUCCCUACUGUCCCUACUGUCCCUACUGUCCCUACUGUCUCUACUGUCCCUACUGUCUCUACUGUCUCUACUGUCCCUACUGUCUCUACUGUCUCUACUGUCCCUACUGUCUCUACUGUCCCUACUGUCCCUACUGUCUCUACUGUCCCUACUGUCCCUACUGUCUCUACUGUCUCUACUGUCUCUACUGUCUCCUGAUGUUCCAUUUGUCUCUGUACCUCUACUGUCUCUACUGUCUCUACUGUCUCUACUGUCCCUACUGUCCCUACUGUCUCUACUGUCCCUACUGUCCCUACUGUCUCUACUGUCUCUACUGUCUCUACUGUCUCUACUGUCCCUACUGUCUCUACUGUCCCUACUGUCCCUACUGUCUCUACUGUCUCUACUGUCCCUACUGUCUCUAUCUCUACUGUCUCUACUGUCCCUACUGUCUCUACUGUCUCCUGAUGUUCCAUGUAUCUCUGUACCUCUACUGUCUCUACUGUCCCUACUGUCUCUACUGUCUCUACUGUCCCUACUGUCUCUACUGUCUCUACUGUCCCUACUGUCUCCUGAUGUUCCAUUUGUCUCUGUACCUCUACUGUCCCUACUGUCUCUACUGUCUCUACUGUCCCUACUGUCUCUACUGUCUCUACUGUCCCUACUGUCUCUAUCUCUACUGUCUCUACUGUCCCUACUGUCUCUACUGUCUCCUGAUGUUCCAUGUAUCUCUGUACCUCUACUGUCUCUACUGUCCCUACUGUCUCUACUGUCCCUACUGUCUCUACUGUCCCUACUGUCCCUACUGUCCCUACUGUCCCUACUGUCUCUACUGUCCCUACUGUCUCCUACUGUCUCUACUGUCCCUACUGUCUCUACUGUCCCUACUGUCCCUACUGUCUCUACUGUCUCUACUGUCCCUACUGUCUCUAUCUCUACUGUCUCUACUGUCCCUACUGUCUCUACUGUCUCCUGAUGUUCCAUGUAUCUCUGUACCUCUACUGUCUCUACUGUCCCUACUGUCCCUACUGUCUCUACUGUCUCUACUGUCCCUACUGUCCCUACUGUCUCUACUGUCCCUACUGUCCCUACUGUCUCUACUGUCCCUACUGUCUCCUGAUGUUCCAUUUGUCUCUGUACCUCUACUGUCCCUACUGUCCCUACUGUCCCUACUGUCUCUACUGUCUCUACUGUCUCUACUGUCCCUACUGUCCCUACUGUCUCUACUGUCCCUACUGUCUCCUGAUGUUCCAUGUAUCUCUGUACCUCUACUGUCUCUACUGUCCCUACUGUCCCUACUGUCUCUACUGUCUCUACUGUCCCUACUGUCCCUACUGUCUCUACUGUCCCUACUGUCCCUACUGUCUCUACUGUCCCUACUGUCUCCUGAUGUUCCAUUUGUCUCUGUACCUCUACUGUCCCUACUGUCCCUACUGUCCCUACUGUCCCUACUGUCUCUACUGUCUCUACUGUCCCUACUGUCUCUACUGUCCCUACUGUCCCUACUGUCUCUACUGUCCCUACUGUCCCUACUGUCCCUACUGUCUCUACUGUCUCUGUCCCUACUGUCCCUACUGUCUCUACUGUCUCUGUCUCUACUGUCUCUACUGUCCCUACUGUCCCUACUGUCUCUACUGUCUCUACUGUCCCCUGAUGUUCCAUUUGUCUCUGUAUCCCUACUGUCCCUACUGUCCCUACUGUCUCUACUGUCUCUACUGUCCCUACUGUCUCUACUGUCUCUACUGUCCCCUGAUGUUCCAUUUGUCUCUGUACCUCUACUGUCCCUACUGUCCCUACUGUCUCUACUGUCUCUGUCUCUACUGUCCCUACUGUCCCUACUGUCUCUACUGUCUCUACUGUCUCUACUGUCUCUGUACCUCUACUGUCUCUACUGUCUCUACUGUCUCCUGAUGUUCCAUGUGUCUCUGUACCAUUACUGUCUCUACUCUGCUCUCUGA
rnacentral:lncRNA from 8 species